UAGGGAAUCUUCCGCAAUGGGCGAAAGCCUGACGGAGCAACGCCGCGUGAGUGAUGAAGGUCUUCGGAUCGUAAAACUCUGUUAUUAGGGAAGAACAAAUGUGUAAGUAACUAUGCACGUCUUGACGGUACCUAAUCAGAAAGCCACGGCUAACUACGUGCCAGCAGCCGCGGUAAUACGUAGGUGGCAAGCGUUAUCCGGAAUUAUUGGGCGUAAAGCGCGCGUAGGCGGUUUUUUAAGUCUGAUGUGAAAGCCCACGGAUCAACCGUGGAGGGUCAUUGGAAACUGGAAAACUUGAGUGCAGAAGAGGAAAGUGGAAUUCCAUGUGUAGCGGUGAAAUGCGCAGAGAUAUGGAGGAACACCAGUGGCGAAGGCGACUUUCUGGUCUGUAACUGACGCUGAUGUGCGAAAGCGUGGGGAUCAAACAGG
rnacentral:rRNA from 1 species